GGAUGAACGUUGGCGGUGUGCCUAAUACAUGCAAGUCGAACGGAGUUAAUAGCAAUAUUGGCUCAGUGGCGAACGGGUGAGUAACGCGUUGGUGAUCUGCCUUGAAGUGUGGAAUAACGUUUCGAAAGAGACGCUAAUACCGCAUGUGCUCUCGAUUUUCAGAAAGUUGAGAGUAAAGGAUUUAUUCGCUUCAAGAGGAGCCUGCGUCCCAUCAGCUGGUUGGUAGGGUAACGGCCUACCAAGGCUGUGACGGGUAGGGGACCUGAGAGGGUGGCCCCCCACAAUGGAACUGAAACACGGUCCAUACUCCUACGGGAGGCAGCAGUGAGGAAUAUUGGUCAAUGGGCGCAAGCCUGAACCAGCCAUCCCGCGUGCAGGAAGACGGCCCUAUGGGUUGUAAACUGCUUUUCCAGGGAGAGAAACUUACGCACGUGUUGCGUGACUGACGGUACCCUGGGAAUAAGCAUCGGCUAACUCCGUGCCAGCAGCCGCGGUAAUACGGAGGAUGCAAGCGUUAUCCGGAUUCAUUGGGUUUAAAGGGUGCGUAGGCGGGCUAUUAAGUCAGUGGUGAAAUCCUGCAGCUUAACUGCAGAACUGCCGUUGAUACUGAUAGUCUUGAGUUUGGUUAAGGUAGGCGGAAUGUGUAAUGUAGCGGUGAAAUGCUUAGAUAUUACACAGAACACCAAUUGCGUAGGCAGCUUACUGAGCCGACACUGACGCUGAGGCACGAAAGCGUGGGGAUCAAACAGGAUUAGAUACCCUGGUAGUCCACGCCGUAAACGAUGAUUACUCGCUGUUGGCGAUACACUGUCAGCGGCUAAGCAAAAGCAAUAAGUAAUCCACCUGGGGAGUACGGCCGCAAGGUUGAAACUCAAAGGAAUUGACGGGGGCCCGCACAAGCGGAGGAACAUGUGGUUUAAUUCGAUGAUACGCGAGGAACCUUACCUGGGCUUAAAUGUAGAGUGCAUUUUCUAGAGAUAGAAAUUCCCUUCGGGGCUUUCUGCAAGGUGCUGCAUGGUUGUCGUCAGCUCGUGCCGUGAGGUGUCGGGUUAAGUCCCAUAACGAGCGCAACCCUUAUCGUUAGUUGCCAGCUGGUAAAGCAGGGGACUCUAGCGAAACUGCCACCGUAAGGUGAGAGGAAGGUGGGGAUGACGUCAAAUCAGCACGGCCCUUAUGUCCAGGGCUACACACGUGUUACAAUGGCCGGUACAGAGGGCUGCUACCUGGUGACAGGAUGCUAAUCUCGAAAACCGGUCUCAGUUCGGAUCGAAGUCUGCAACUCGACUUCGUGAAGCCGGAUUCGCUAGUAAUCGCGCAUCAGCAACGGCGCGGUGAAUACGUUCCCGGGCCU
rnacentral:rRNA from 1 species